AUGCUUACGAAGCUUCAUAAACUCAAUGCACCCAGCUGGUCCACGACACCUCCGCAUUGGUAGUUUCCCUGCCAUUGACAUGUUAAUUUCAAUGACUAAGAACAAAAAUAAUCAGAAAACCAAUUACUGGCAAGGAAACUCAAUACCCAAAACCAUCUCUGGGGGCUGUGUUGAGUCGUCCGAUGAUGAGUUUUGUUCAACCAU